rnacentral:rRNA from 1 species
UACGUAGGGGGCAAGCGUUGUCCGGAAUCAUUGGGCGUAAAGCGCGUGUAGGCGGCUGGGUAAGUCCGCUCUGAAAGCCCGGGGCUCAACCCCGGGAGGCGGGUGGAUACUGCUCAGCUCGAGUCCGGAAGAGGAGUGUGGAAUUCCUGGUCGUAGCGGUGAAAUGCGCAGAUAUCAGGAAGAACACCCGUGGCGAAAGCGGCUCUCUGGAACGGUACUGACGCUGAGACGCGAAAGCGUGGGGAGCGAACAGG